UGGGAAUGAUUCUGAUGAUGAUGAUG
rnacentral:piRNA from 1 species